rfam:Bacillus ginsengihumi strain M2.11 NODE_17, whole genome shotgun sequence.
AUUAAAUAAACAUUUGUACCGUAGACAGCAGGUGCUGAAAAGCUUAAUUCCCUGCCGAGGUAAUGCGUAUAGAUUGAUUGUCUGUUUAGCAGACUUAUGCAUUGAGCCUCCAUGUCUUCGCGAUAUGGGGGCUUUUAAUUGGUAUAA